rnacentral:lncRNA from 1 species
GAUAAACAAAACAAAUUAUAAUACUCAAAAAUCCAAUAUUUCAAUAAUAAAUGUUUUUAAAACUAUAUUCUGUACAUUCAGAAAUUUCUGCAAUAUUUUUAUAAAGGUUUUGCAAAAUAAAUGCAUUUUCAAUUUUGAUAGCAUUGUUUGUUUGCAACAAUUUCUGAAAUUGCAAUAAUUCAUCUCACAUUUUUUCAAUAAAAUAUGCAAACAGAAAUUGCAGAACUAACAAACGAUGAUAAAUAGCAACAGGAACAUUUUUCAUAAUAUGCGUAGCAACAGAAAACUACAAGCUCAAGGAGCAAACGCCGAAAAUGCAUAACAGUAUUUGAUGGCAGUAUUAGGUACAUUUUGUUCACAAAUAAGAUUGCCUACAGCAUUUUAUACACCCGAUGGCAGUAUUAGGUACAUUUUGUUCACAAUAUGAUUGCCUAGAGCAUUUUAUACACUCAUCUACAAAUCAGUAAGAGUGGACAUUGUUUGUAGAUUAAGUACGUUAUUGAAUAUAAAAACAGUUUCAAUAAAAUGACUGUAUUUAAAAAACAUUGUGAUCAUAAUUAUUGACUAUAAAUCUGAAACAACUAAAAGGAACAUCAUCAAAAUGGAAAAUUACCAAGUCGUCAUUGUGUUUAACAAUUGCUAAGGAUUCAUAAUAUUGUGUACGCAUUUGUCAAUGAUUUGUCAAAGUAUUAAAUAACUGAUUGUAUAAAAAUUUGGUCCAGUUUCAUUGCUGGAUACUUCAGUUACAAUGUGAGUUCUUUGAUACAUAGACAGAGAUAUACAAUAAUGUUUCCUAGGAGAAAUAAUAAUGCCAAUGUAGGAAUGAUUACCAUUACAGCAUACAAUAUAGUUCCCUCAAAUGUCUUUUCUUAUACUCUCAUUAAGAAUACACUAAAAUUAAACGAUUGACAUUUUUUAAUGAUAAUAAAAUAAGUAACAUUUGAAUUUGGUUUUUGCUAAAGAAUUCUUAGUAAAAUUGAAGCAAAAUGAACAAAGUAUCAAACUUCUACAAAUCAACAUUUUCAGCAUAGAUUACCUUAGUCAUAUUUUGCACAAUUUUGAAUCCUUAAUGCUUUUCAACUUUGUACUUGUUUGGCUUUUAUAAAUAUUUUUAUAAAUAUUUAUUAUGAGCGUCACUGAUGAGCCUUAUGUAGACGAAAUGCACGUCUAGUGUACUAAAUUAUAAUCCUGGUACCUUUGAUAACUAUUUACAUUUCUACCAAAACAAAAUGAAACAUUUUUUUUUUUAUCAAAACAGAAUGGUUUUGUAAAAAUCACUUUCAAUUUACUUUUCUUGACAAAAUAUAGUUCAUACUGGAAGUGUCCACUAAAAUGGAAUACACAAAGUUUCAUAUGGAUAUAAUGGGGCUCUCUCCUUAAAGUUAUAAUGACAAAGUGGUUUUGAAGAGAGUCAAAAUUUCUUUGGUUAAUGGGGCAUAAAUCUGGAUAAACUAAAAAGUGAGUAAAAUUACUUCAAUUGAUAAAUGUUGCAUAUCAUAAUCUUUUAUUUUUAAAACUAAAUUUGAAGUGAUUAGAACAAAUGAUAAAUCUGGACAAACUGACAGAUUGAAAGAUGGUUUGAUUCCUUUAUACCCCUAAAACUUUGUUUGCAUAUGAUAUAAUAAACCUAGUAGUUUCUCAAAAGAGUAGAAAGUAAAUGAGGGAUAAUGAACACAAAUUGAUAGUGCUGGCAAUAGCUCACACUGGAAGUUUAUGACAGGUUACCUUUACUAAAAUAAAACAAUUUAACAAUAAUAUAUAAAGUAAAUAUAUAUAACCACAAAUAAUCUUUAAAUGUUAUAAAUAAGACAUAUAUAGUGAAAGUUAUUAUAUCUGAUCUCAUUUAAGUAAGCAUAAAAUCCACUAAAAUAAUAAAAUAAAUGGUUUGUCCCUUGGCAUCUCAAAUCUUUUAAAUAUGAAAGAAAAGUGUACAAGCUACCUGAAUUAAUUUGAUCAUGAAACAAACAUUGCUAAGUAGAAUAUAUCCCUCAAUACAUCAUAUACAAAAUAACUAAUAAAUACACAAAAAUAAAAAGUAAUGCUUCUAUAUAACCUAUUAAAUUACAGAUCCUGCGUCCCCACUUAGCUUACUUGUAAGGAUCUGACAAGACUUGGUUUUACUUUCUGUUUUAAAGACCUUUUAUGAUCCUCUGAUUUUGUCAUAAUCAUAAACAUCUUCAAAAAUCUAAAAUGAUGAGUUUGAGCUUUUGAUUUGGCAUUUUUCUUAUUUUCCUGGAAGUUCAGUAUUUUUGUGAUUUUACCCUUUUCUUUGACUGAUGCAACAAUUACUAGAAUUGGAGUGUUGUCAGAACUUAGUAAGCACAGUUAGGACACAUGUUCUGUAUUUCAAAUAUGUUAAGAAGGCAAAAAUAUCAAGAUUGAUAAUGGUACAGUAUUAAAUCUCACUAUUUCACUCUGCACAUUCAUUGUGGAAAGAGUAUUCUCUUGCUGAAUAAUUAUUCUGUAUACAGGAAAUUUGUUUUGAAGAAAUAAACAAAAGUUUCAUUUAGAACACUUUGGACCUCAAUGUGGUAUCAUCUAAUUAAUAAUAAAAAUAAAUAAAGGUUUUGGUAACUGUCCUAUUUUAAUUAAAUAUGGCCCAUAUACAGAAUAAGAUUUUUCUAAACUAACCAACAUAAAAACCCACAAAUCCAAAGUAGCUACUGACUGUCACCUAAAACAUUGUGCUAUUACAUGUAUAUAGUUACCGACUGUCACCUAAAACAUUGUGAUAUUAAAUGUAUAUAGUUUAUGAAGUUAAAAUAUAAAUGAGACUAAAACUUUUGAUGGCUUCCAAAACAGAGAGAGUUGGAGAAAAAAAUGGUUUUGCUCCUCUUUUUCCUUGAGGAGUUAAGAGAAAUAAAUACAGAUAUCACUAACAAAUGUCAAGAAUUACUUGAAUAAAGAAAACAAUGAAAAUCUAGCAAUCUUAGCACAAAAUGAUAACAUUACAAUUGAAAUGGUUAAGUUAAAGCAGCUUCGUAACA